rnacentral:rRNA from 1 species
GGGGAACCAGGACUUUUACUUUGAAAAAAUUAGAGUGUUCAAAGCAGGCCUUUGCUCGAAUACAUUAGCAUGGAAUAAUGGAAUAGGACGGCGCUCCUAUUUUGUUGGUUUCUAGGAGAGCCGUAAUGAUUAAUAGGGACAGUUGGGGGCAUCCGUAUUCAGUUGUCAGAGGUGAAAUUCUUGGAUUUACUGAAGACGAACUACUGCGAAAGCAUUUGCCAAAGAUGUUUUCAUUAAUCAGUGAACGAAAGUUAGGGGAUCGAAGACGAUCAGAUACCGUCGUAGUCUUAACCAUAAACCAUGCCGACUAGGGAUCGGGCGAUGUUAGUUUAUUGACUCGCUCGGCACCUUUCGAGAAAUCAAAGUGUUUGGGUUCUGGGGGGAGUAUGGUCGCAAGGCUGAAACUUAAAGAAAUUGACGGAAGGGCACCACCAGGAGUGGAGCCUGCGGCUUAAUUUGACUCAACACGGGGAAACUCACCAGGUCCAGAUACACGUAGGAUUGACAGAUUGAGAGCUCUUUCUUGAUUGUGUAGUUGGUGGUGCAUGGCCGUUCUUAGUUGGUGGAGUGAUUUGUCUGCUUAAUUGCGAUAACGAACGAGACCU